UGGGGAAUUUUGGACAAUGGGGGAAACCCUGAUCCAGCCAUCCCGCGUGUGCGAUGAAGGCCUUAGGGUUGUAAAGCACUUUUGGCAGGAAAGAAACGUCAUGGGUUAAUACCCCGUGAACCUGACGGUACCUGCAGAAUAAGCACCGGCUAACUACGUGCCAGCAGCCGCGGUAAUACGUAGGGUGCAAGCGUUAAUCGGAAUUACUGGGCGUAAAGCGUGCGCAGGCGGUUCGGAAAGAAAGAUGUGAAAUCCCAGAGCUCAACUGUGGAAUUGCAUUUUUAACUACCGGGCUAGAGUGUGUCAGAGGGAGGUAGAAAUCCGCGUGUAGCAGUGAAAUGCGUGGAUAUGCGAAGGAAGACCGAUGGCGAAGGCAGCCUACUAGGAUAACACUAACGCUCAUGCACGAAAGCGUGGGGAGCAAACAGG
rnacentral:rRNA from 1 species